rnacentral:rRNA from 1 species
AACGAACGCUGGCGGCAUGCCUAACACAUGCAAGUCGAACGAGCCCUUCGGGGUUAGUGGCGCACGGGUGCGUAACGCGUGGGGAUCUGCCCUUUGCUUCGGAAUAACAGUUAGAAAUGACUGCUAAUACCGGAUGAUGUCGCAAGACCAAAGAUUUAUCGGCAAAGGAUGAACCCGCGUAGGAUUAGCUAGUUGGUGGGGUAAAGGCCUACCAAGGCGACGAUCCUUAGCUGGUCUGAGAGGAUGAUCAGCCACACUGGGACUGAGACACGGCCCAGACUCCUACGGGAGGCAGCAGUGGGGAAUAUUGGACAAUGGGCGAAAGCCUGAUCCAGCAAUGCCGCGUGAGUGAUGAAGGCCUUCGGGUUGUAAAGCUCUUUUACCAGGGAUGAUAAUGACAGUACCUGGAGAAUAAGCUCCGGCUAACUCCGUGCCAGCCGCCGCCGUAACAC